UACGUAGGGCGCAAGCGUUAUCCGGAAUUACUGGGCGUAAAGGGUGCGUAGGCGGUUGUUUAAGUCUGUCGUGAAAUCCCCGGGCUCAACCUGGGAAUGGCGAUGGAUACUGGGCAGCUAGAGUGUGUCAGAGGAUGGUGGAAUUCCCGGUGUAGCGGUGAAAUGCGUAGAGAUCGGGAGGAACAUCAGUGGCGAAGGCGGCCAUCUGGGACAACACUGACGCUGAAGCACGAAAGCGUGGGGAGCAAACAGG
rnacentral:rRNA from 1 species